GGCUUCGUGGUUUAGUGGUAUAAUUCUCGCUUAGGGUGCGAGAGGUCCCGGGUUCGAUCCCCGGCGAAGCCC
rnacentral:tRNA from 2 species